ACAUGUUGAUGAGAAAUCUACUUUUUCUACUAUUGCUUCACUGUGGGCCUUCACAGGGCAGUCUGUGAAGACCACAAAUACUGUUUACUACAGUAACUUGGUCACCCACAAGAGGAGUCAGGACUCUGGCAUACAGAAGGUACAGUUUUCAUAGAGCGCCAUCCUUGACAUUACACAGCUGCAGAGAUGAACAAUCAAACACAAAACUACCCAGAACCAAAUCUGGCUAAGGACUCCAGGAAACAGCAAGUUAGAGGCUUAUGGUCACCUCGAGAGGAGAUUGUUGCUGUGAUCCUGGGAAUCAUCUGUUUUGUCUUGAUGUAUACUCUAGUGAGAGUGAUAACUUUUAUUCCACCUGCUCUAAUACAGAAACAGAAUAACUCCUCUUGGAUAACAAGGCUCCAGAAAGAAGACCAUUGUGGUCGUUUUCCAAAAGACUGGUUUACAUAUUCCAACAACUGCUAUUAUAUCAUCUUUGAAGCAAAAACAUGGAAUGGGAGUUUGACAGCCUGUGCUUCUAAGAACUCUACUCUGCUUUAUUUAGAUAAUGAAGAGGAACUGAAAUUUCUGAAGUCCCUAUCAAUUGUGUCAUGGAUUCCAGUCUUUCGUGAAGGCCGUGGUCAUCCUUGGAUGUGGCAAAAUGGCUCAACUUGCAAACUACAAAUAUCAGACUUCCCACCUGAGAAAGGAAACUGUGCAGUGCUAUCCUCAGGGAACAUAAAGUCAGAUGACUGUGAAUUCCCAAAUUUGUAUACUUGCAAGCACAAGCUUGAGAAUUAAAAAGUACAGUUUUCAUAGAGCGCCAUCCUUGACAUUACACAGCUGCGGAGAUGAACAAUCAAACGCAAAACUACCCAGAACCAAAUCUGGCUAAGGACUCCAGGAAACAAGCAAAUGAGAGAUUUACCAUCACCUUGAGAGAAGUUCGUUGCCGUGAUCCUGGGAAUCAUCUGCUUUGUCUUGAUGUAUACUCUAGUGAGAGUGAUAACUUUUAUUCCGCGUAAGUAUAUUUUUGAAAUUGUGAUUGAACUUUUCACUUUAAUGAUCAUCAGUGCCUUCUCAAAAAUCAUAUGAUGAAAUAAAACUCUUAUUUUAAUAUGUUCAUUCAGCCUAAAUGUGGAAUAGCUAUUCUUAGGUUGUCCAAAGUAUAAAUAAGAGAAUGAUUCUAGGGAAUAUUUUAUAUAUAUAUAUAUAUAUACACGCACACACACAUGUGUGCGUGUAUAUAUACAUGUAUUUUCUGAUUUCAUAACUCAAACACAGGCUUUAGGAAGCUGAAAAACCUGAUUGAGAAAUACAAAUUAGUUCUUGAGAUUGGUUAAACCAAAUACUGUAAGAGGUGGAGAAGUCUAUUUCUCUAGGCUUUUGUUAAUAUUCCCCCCUCCCAAUUUUCAUUACUUUAUUAAUUUUUCUUGGUAAAAACAAUUUUAUUCCAGAUAAUUCUAAUUCUAAAAAACACCACAUUUAAACUAAGAAACAAAUUAUUAUGAUUUAUUUAGAUCAGUGUUAAUUUUUUAAAAGAUCAUUUCAAUGUUUUCUAGGUACUAAAAUACCAGAGCAGAACAAUUCCUGUAUGAUAACAAAGCUCCGAAAAGUUACAUAAUAAUUUUCAAAGUUCUGAUAUUAAAUACACUUAGUUUUGUCUCUGUCUUAGGUUAGACAAAGAUAAUAAUAGUCUUUGACAUGAAAGCAUAAAUUAUAAAAUCAAAUGAUGAACAUUCAUAAAUGAUCAUAGAAGAGUGUUCCUUCUUAGACAACAAUACAUAGAAAUAUUCAGUUACAAUCACCAUACCUACUGCUGCCAAUUGGCUUAAAUUUCUUCCUGUGAUAAUACAAUAUAAAUAAUUUUACGUUCUACAAAAGGAGUGUCAUUGAUUAUCAGGUUAUGUAGAGAGUACAUAUUUUUUUUGUCUGUUUGCUUCCUAUGGGGACAUUGGGGAAUGAGAGGUUGACCUUUCUCUGUGAGUGUGUAUAUGAGUGUGUACCAGCCUGUGAGAAUGCAUAACUAUGUUAUGUACAUAUAUUUUAUACUUACCAAAUAUGUAAAUGAAUUUUAAUUUCUUUAAGAUUAAUAUUUUUGGAUAAUAAUUCAUAACCUUUCUUCAGAAUGACAUUCUGGUCAUUGUCCAAAAGACUGGUUACAUAUUCCAACAACUGCUAUUACAUUAUGUUUGAAAAGAAAAAAAAAAAAACAUGAAAUAGGCAUUUGAUAGCCUGUGCUUCUAGUAACUCUGUUCUGCUUUAUAUAGAUAAUGAAGAGGAAAUGGUAAGAUAUUAAAUGUUUCCAACACUUUGCUAAAGGCUUGAUUCAGUCAAUAUUAUAUUUGUUAGAAUUCACUUGUGUUUUUGUACAUAUUUGUAGUAUGUUUAAGGCUUGUUAUUUCAUUAAACAAUGAAAUACAACUUAAUGAUAUUUUAUUUAUAUUUUUCUCUUAUUAAUGCAUGCUUUAUAAUUUCCAGUUCCUGCUUUUUUUGAAAACCAUGCCUCUACAAAUGCUA